CUUUCUUGUAGUUUGGAGACCUAAUAGACCCCGAGGCUUGGUGGGUGGUUCUCUCCUGCUAACUUCUAAAGUUGAAGCUAAGGGGAUCAUUAUUUAUCUGGAGACUAUAAGGCUGUGCUGUCCAGUAUGGUAGUCACCAGCCUCAUGUGGCUGUUGAGAACUUGAAAUGUGGCUAGUCCGGAUCGAGAUGUGCUAAGGAGACAUGCAUACAAGGAGAAUGCCAGGUGAACGUGAAGACCAUCAUUUGCAAGCCAAGAGAGGCCUGGAGCAGAUCCUUCAGAGCCCUCAGAAGGGACCAACCCUGCUGGCACCUUGAUUUUGGACUUCCAGCCUCCAGAACUAAGAACUUGAUGUAUACCUCCUGACCUGUUCAUCUUGUAGCUGCCUCUUGACAGCACAUGUUGGCACCUUUAGAAAGAUCUAGAAAUCCACGUGUUGUACGUAAAUCUGGGGCUGUUGUUACUGCAGAUGUACCUUCCACAACUUGAUUUUCUGUGAUGUCAAUUAUUCAGAUAUAAGAGGCCGCCCUGUAGAGGAGGAAGGAGGAAGUUGGCUGUGAUUGACCUUGCUAGGUCAUCUUCCUAAUCUUUGUCCUUUCCUGCACCCCAAAUGGAAGAUAAAAGGCAAUGCAAGAUCAGCAUCCUCAGAGACAUCGUUUUGUUUGGGUUUCAUGGAUUGCAAUUGCCAGAGAUGCUUAGGCUGCCUCUAGAGGGAAGAUGAUUGAUUGUUAACCUAUGUGGUCCAACCAAAUGUCUUAGGGGUUAUUGAUAAUUAAAAUGGACAAUAGCGAUUUUCCAUUUCUUCUGGCCUUGGGUGCUGGCAUGUGGAAGUGGUAUUGAUACUCAUGACCAAAUAGGCACUUAUCGAUUUCAGUUUUCAUAAGUUGCCUACCAAAUGCAAACUAGUAACCCAGACGUGGGAGACCUAAUAUUCCAUUGUUAAUCUUUAGGUCCAUAAUUUUUAUUUCCUCUACUUGCCUCUUCUUCCUUCCUCUGCAUAAUGAGUUGGGCUUAUAUAAUUGCACCCAUUUACUCACUCAUUCGUUCAAUCAAUUAUUUGUUCCUAUUUUAUGCCAAGUAAUGAACAGAAGGUGUUGGGGAUGCAAAACCCAACUAAUUGGAAUUUCUAUGUUACAGGAGCUUAUGCUUUAGUGAAAUUAUAGACAAAUUAUUAUACAGUUUUAAUCCAGAAUAGUAAGUGCUAUGGGAGCAUGCACAGAGGAAACAACCCAAUCUUAAGGAAUCAGGAAGGUUUGCAGAGGACUGACAGGAAAAGUGGGCAGGUGAAGAAGAUGGGCAGUGAGAGGAGGAGUGGAAGCACUUUUGCUAGGGAAAAACAUGAAUAAAAGGGAUAAUUUUCUGCUCUUACCCCUGGGUGAUCUUUGCGUGGUACUGUCCAUCACAGUUGGGAGAGACGGCUCCUCAGAGCUGCUCCACACUGUUCACAGAGGAUGCCAUUCCAAGGAAACUGGGGAAUAGGGAAAGUCUUUAGCUUAUUCCUCUUUGAGGUUUGUUUGAGAUGCAGUUUCUUCAAUAUUUUGAGUCUAUGAAAACAUGUUGUAUACUUAAAUAUAUACCACAAAAAAUAAAAAAAAUUGCGAUUUAAA
rnacentral:lncRNA from 10 species